rnacentral:rRNA from 1 species
UACAGAGGUCUCAAGCGUUGUUCGGAUUCAUUGGGCGUAAAGGGUGCGUAGGUGGCGCGCUAAGUCAGGUGUGAAAUCUCGGGGCUUAACUCCGAAACUGCAUUUGAUACUGGCGCGCUUGAGGACUGGAGAGGAGACUGGAAUUCAUAGUGUAGCAGUGAAAUGCGUAGAGAUCAUGAGGAAGACCAGUGGCGAAGGCGGGUCUCUGGACAGUUCCUGACGCUGAGGCACGAAGGUCAGGGGAGCAAACGGG